UACAGAGGUCUCAAGCGUUGUUCGGAUUCAUUGGCGUAAAGGGUGCGUAGGUGGCGGGGCAAGUUUGGUGUGAAAUCCCGGGGCUCAACCCCGGAACUGCACUGAAUACUGCCUUGCUUGAGCACUGGAGAGGGAACUGGAAUUUACGGUGUAGCAGUGAAAUGCGUAGAUAUCGUAAGGAAGACCGGUGGCGAAGGCGGAUCUCUGGACAGGAACUGACACUGAGGCACGAAGGCC
rnacentral:rRNA from 1 species